rnacentral:lncRNA from 1 species
GACCUCCCUCUUUUUCUCCCUCUAGAUUCUCUCUCCUUCUCUACCUCUUUUCUUCCUCUCUAAAGCUCUCCAGCCACCGCCCUUCAUCACCGGCGAGCCAUGACCAGCCGCCGCUCUACCAAAAUAGUUAGUCCAGUCGUAAAAUUGGUGUUUCCUCCAGUCUUUGUCACUUCACUGGAGGUAAUGACAGGUGAAACAUCAUUCUAGAAAUCACCACCGACCGGCGACCCAUCAUUCUCAGCAAACCAGCAACCAGUGCCGCCACCAACUGCCGUAACAUCCACCACCAAAACUCCAAUGGAAACAGCUGCCUCCAGUUGUGGUGAAUCAACCACCAACAGACUAGUCGGCUCCGUCGGCGAAAUAGUAAAGCCCAUCGCCUAUUUUGACCAAACUCACGAGAGUGUCAAGGAUUCAAUUCCAACAUUUUUUGUAUAAUGAAUUUGUCUUUGAUAAGAUUGUUCUUGGAUUUACUUUAUUUUGUUUGUGGAUAUUAAAUACGUG